rnacentral:rRNA from 1 species
UACGUAGGGGGCAAGCGUUGUCCGGAUUUAUUGGGCGUAAAGAGCGUGUAGGCGGCCAAGUAGGUCAGCUGUGAAAACUCGAGGCUCAACCUCGAGAUGUCGGCUGAAACCAUCUGGCUAGAGUCCGGAAGAGGAGAAUGGAAUUCCCGGUGUAGCGGUGAAAUGCGCAGAUAUCGGGAAGAACACCCGUGGCGAAGGCGGUUCUCUGGGACGGUACUGACGCUGAGACGCGAAAGCGUGGGGAGCGAACAGG